CCCAGCCCGUAACGGGGCGGGGCUGGUGCACGAGACAGGUCCUGGCAGCUGCAUACGCACUCGGGUCUCCGGCCGGACCUGUGUGUGCUUAACUGCUCACCGAGUCGUUAUCGGAUCAGCAAUGGCGCUUAACAAGCCCCUGCUACGAGGCUUGGCCGGAGUCCGCUCCCUGCUGCGAAGGAGUUCAUUGGGCCGCCUGUACAUCUGCCAGGAGCGGCAGCCUACACGAAGCACGAAGCACCCCUCUGAAGGCGCGAGGCAAAGUGACGAUUCUAACGGCUGGUUCUGCAGCCGCUGCGCGUGGGUGGCGGGCACGGCGCGAGCACUAACCCCAGCGCGCGCGGCUCCGCACUGCCCCCGCUAAGCGCCCUGCCCUACCCGCCGCUGCCACACCUGCGCCUAGUGCGCCUGCGAGGGCAGGGAGCUCCUAGUGCGCCUGGUAGCGGCCGCGCCCGCCCGCGCCGGCGGGGCGGGAGCGGAGCGGAGCCGCGCGCGGCGUCCGGGGUUCGAGGCCGGGGCGCGGGCAGCCGGGAGGCCCCGGGAAGCGGCGGCGCUUGCGGAACGGGCUACACGAGGGGUGAAGUACAGUGUUUUCUGUGGAGUGUCUGGAUUGCUUUAUUGCUUUUAAGUGUUCUCAAAAUCUGCUUCGUAUAAUGAUCCUGUAUUACAGCUUCAGCGAGUGACCUAGAAGGAAAUUUUUAAGUACCUGAUUUGGUACAUAAUGUAUAUAUUUUUAUAAGUGUGUGUGUAUACCAGGUGAUGUGUUGUACAAAGAUUCUGGAGGUAGUAAAAUACUGAAUCGCUUGGUAACCCCAUCUGUAAAAACGCUCAUGCUUCCUGGAAAAACAGAGGACCCGGAUCAUUUCCAGCCCGGACACUCUAGGCUAGAGUCCUUGGUUUUGACCUGGUCAAUAGGGAUUUGGAUCUGUGUCUAGCUCCUGAGGCCUGGCAGUGCCUAUGUCUGCCCCUUUCCCUCCGCUUGGCUCUGCGGGAUGCCUGGCGGUGGUGAGCCCCACGCACCUUUGCUCACCCCUUUUGGGCAAGGCUGAGACCCAGCCCACAGCCUCUGCAGGCCUUGCUCGUGGUUGCCAGGGUUCGUGGGGAUUCCCCUGACUCCUGAUAGCGCCAGGCAACUUCCCACAGAAAACACAGUAUAUGUUGUUAAAUAAUGUUAGGGAGCCACGGGGCAGUAUCACGAGGGAUGCCACAUUUACCAUCACUUAGAAUGUCUAAAUCCACCUUAGAUAUCGUUGUAAACACUAUGUAUAUAUAUAAAAUGUAAUCUACUAGAAACUCUGAUAAUGAGUGUCAGCAGACAAAAUCUGUGACCAUGUAGGAAAUGUUUCCUUAAAGUGCAUCAGCCUUCAGAUAACAAUCACAAUAUUUUUUUUGUUUUGAUCAAAAAUGGAUAUUCCUUGGUAAGUUUGUGAGGAUUUUUUUUUUUUUUUUCCCAAACCCUGGGAGGGUGGUGGUUUAAACUCAUGUUUACAAAUGGAGGCAUCUUUUACUGUUGUGUUAGUAGCAGUUCUGCAUUGUGUAUUAACUUGCAGUGGUGAGAGCUUAACAAAUCCUGUUAUCUUGUAACAAUAAUUAUGUACUAGACAUCCUUAACUCAAUUAUUUUGUAAAAUGACAUUGUGAACUUCAGCCCUUUUCUUCUGUUUUUCAGAUUCUUUAGGUCUUCAAAUGGUGAAAGAGGACUCUCUGUUAACUUAAACUGAUAAAACCUUGACCCCCCCCAACUUUCUUAAACAGUUUCACUUUUCAACAUUCUUAAAUGUUUCACUUUUUCAAGAUGCAAGGUAACGUAUGCAUGCUGUGCACAAGCUUGUGAUACAGUCCUCCUUGCUCCAAGGAACGGCAUAUUAAUGGCUUAUAUUAAUGAGCUCCAAGGAAUGGCAUUAUACAAGUCAAAUUGAUGGGUUUGCCCCAGUCCACGGGUUUGCACCUUCUUCCAAACUCCUUGUCUCUAUUCUCUUUAUUGAAACCAGAGCCUCAUGACCCAAAUUUUCUACUGUAGUAUCCUCAUCUCUCUAACCUCUGCAAGCCCCAGUUUCAUAUCCGUCCCUCUGCUUUGCUAGUGUUAUUUAUCCUUUUCAAAUCAUGGUAUUUUACUAUGGAACAAGCAGUCGUGCUGGUCAGCUGUAGAUUUCAGCUACCUCUGAAGGAAAGGGUCAAUGUCUAAUGUCUAAUUAGCACUGAACCAGUUACUCUGCAGCACUUGAUUGAGAGUGACAGUAAAUAAUUAUAGUUUAUUAGCUUUUUGUUCUGUAUGUGUAUUGGAACAGACAAAUUUGUCCAGGAUAGUUCUACUUAAUUUUUUCUACAUCUUUUUCUCAAAGUCUCCCCCACCCCCCCACCACCACUGUGUCUGCAUUGUUUCUUACUCUCUGUCAUUGUUCCACCCUUGCUUGUAGGUGUUGGCCAGCAUGCAGAUGGGCAGAGCUGUCAGCUACAAGGUGGUUAGUGCCUCACAGUGGUCAGGUAGUUGAGACUUAGUGGUACCAUCAUAUGCUGCAUGGCUUGGUGGCUGCAGAGCACAGACUGCUGCUUCAGGGGUUGGCAGCUGUUGUAGAAAGGAGCAGGCAAAACUCAAGUGUUUUUGUUUGUUUCUGCAGCAUGGCAUGGCAGAAAUGUUCUGUAUUUGUCUAAUAUCUUAACUGAUUCCACUUGCAGAGGUUAAAUUUAAAGCUUAAAUCGAUAGGUUUAUCUUAUUUUCUUUCAUCGUUUUGUUGUUCAUGCUCUCCCAUAGCAUGAGGAGGAACUGCAUCUCUUGAUUUGCUCUCUGGUGUCUGCUGGUCGAGGUUUGUUGGAGGAUGGGAUAUAUCUGUGACGUCUUUCUGCUAGAAACAUUGGGAACACAUGGCUGUGAGGUCAAUUCUGCCCUGACUGUAAUGAUGGCAGCUGCUUGGAGCUGUAGUUCUCAUUUCCAUCUGGGCCAAACGUGUGUGUCUUGCCAGUAGACUGCAUACGGUGGUGUAGAUGAGUCUUCAGUCCUGAGUGCCUGUGUCUCUGCCAUACAGGUUUGAUGGCUCAGUGAGAGCUUGCUCUGUGUGCGCUGCUGCAGUGCAAACGCAAAAGGCCAUAGCAGGUUGUUUGAAAUCUUCUUUUGGUAAUCCUUGAUAAACAAGUCUGUAUAAUUCUCAACAGUUUAAGUGAGAUUUUAUUUCUGUAUAUGCUUAUUAGCCAUGUGUAUAGUACAUUGAAAAUUAUCAUGUCCAUCAACCUACAUGUACAGUCAGGCCACUAAUUUCACCUUUCUGCAAUCCUAAACCCUCUUAAACGCUGGGUACUUCAAACUGUACUGCAAAAAAUUUCUUACUGCCCUCUUAACUUCUACUGGCAAAGAUUCCACAGCACACAUUAAAGUGUGAAUGCUUUAUAAUGCUUUUCAAGACUUUGAAGAUAGCUGUAUGGUCCUCUGUUUAAUACUCGGCUUUCUUUAAGUAGUUAUUUUGCAGAAGUAAACAUUCAUGGGGGAAAAAUCCAGCCCAAGAAGCUGAGGUAUCUCAUUUAAUGAAAAUGAAGAUUAGAGGCAGAAUUCUUAUUUAUUUAUUUCAGUUUAACUUUUGUAAUUCCACAAAGCUUUAUGGAAGAAAUGUAACGGCGAGAGUGGACAGUAUAAGCAGUUGUGUCUCAUAACUGAGACGUAAGUGGAAAUACUGUUCUAUAUUUUUGUAGGUAACUCAGAGCAGUUUUUUCCCCACCCUUUUCAGUUAUGGCUCUGGGAUAAUUUAAAAUGUUCCUGUGUGGAAAAGGAUGUGCUGAGUGAUGCUGACUGAACUGUUUUAUACUAGUACUUCAUUCAGUUUCCACUGAAGUAAGGGGAAUGGGAGGUGAAUUAAAUAUAGUUCGAUGUUUGCUGAUGGCUAGAAAAUGAAUUUACACAUAAUAGCAUAUGCCUUUUUUUUUUUUUCCUUGAAGAGACCAUUUUACUUUAAAAAGUUAAAUACAAUUCUCGGUACUGCAUUCAUUUGCAUUACAAAACAGUACUUUGUCAAAAGCAUCUUUACCCUUCAGUCUCUUUUUAAAUAUGUCUGUGUUAUGGAAAAAGUAAACAUGUACUUUUAAAUAUCAUAUGAGUGAUAUGAUUUUUUUGAAAUCCACCUCUUCUUUAAAAUAUGCUCAGGUAUUGUUCUCAGUUCAUUAGCAUGGAUUUGUGGUACAGGAAACACUCACAUCAGCUAUUUUAACCAUUAGUCACCUAUUGCAUAUAUUGACUGUAUUAAAUAGCAAUCAGAAGUUUGUUUUUGUCAGCAUAGCAGCUAUCAGCAAAGAUUUAAGAAGCUGGCAGAUUUUUCUUGUGUAUGUUUUAAAUUCUUAUUGUUACAGUUGUGGCUGUUCUGUUUGAAAGGCACUUACUGAAAGUUUUUGCAGGCAGCCGUCUCUCUACAAGUCCGGGAUGCCAGGAUAAUCCUCUAAUAAAAGAGGCAAAACAUAUCAGUGGGCUUCCUACUCCUUUUAGAAUAGGAAUUUCUCAGGCUACAACCAAAAGUUACAUGUGAAUGUUUGCCACUUCUUUAAAUGCUUAGUUAAAAUAUGUGUAUUCUGUCGUCGUAUGUGUCUAAUGGAUCACUUCUUACAUGUGUUUUCUAGAGGAAAAAGAAGUGGAUCCAGAAAAGGUCCUAUAUCAGUUCCUUUAAGAAAAAACUUUUGGUUAUUGAUGAGCACAUAUAUCUGUAAAGAAAUAUCAUUUACUUUUCACAAACAGGCUGAAGCUGUUAUUUAUCAAUUUUUGCAUGGAUAUUUUGCACUUUCAGCUCUCUGAUGCACCAUUGACAUAGCUUUUGCAUGGACAGGGUUGCUUCUCCAGUAAGUCUGUGGUUUUAUGCCAAGGGAAAGAGUGGAUACAGAACGGCACAGAAAAGGGGGUGUUAUUAUUUAUGUAUAAUGUGUGACCUCUGUUUGUGUGUAUUUGUACGACUAGAGAGAGACUGAGAACAAUUACGGGAACCUUUCUUUGCUGUAAAGCAUUGAUAAAAACUGUGUGAGGAGGCAAGAUCUUUGUCAGCUGGUGAUAGAUUCACUACAGCUGGAAGCCCGUUUCAUUCUAAUUCUCAUUUUAAGAAUUCUUCUUAUACCUAACCAUCCCAGCCAUCACACAUAUAGCACCAGAACUUUCCUUGGUAUUGCUCUGGCAUCUAAAGCUUGCUAACUUCCUUAGAUAUGUUAUAUUGGGAUUUGUGUUUAACCAGAUUCUUGAUGUAACCAGAUGUCUCUUUGCUCCUGCAUUCUGGCUAUGUCUUUUCCUCCUAUAUGCAUAACGUAGGACUUCGCUGCAGUCUUUGUAUUGGUAAAACAACAGUCACUCAAGGAUUUGGAAACUAAGUUAUUGAACAUCAAGUACUGGAUAGUAAUGGUCUAUGUGUAUUAUUACUGCAUUGUAACUUAAGUAUUUCAUGGUAGUUUCAAGAAAAAGGGAUACAUUACAUUUAUUGUGGAGCAAAUGGGUGCACUAUUUGCAUAAUUAUAACUUACCUGAUGUAAUGUGCAACACAUUGCAGUGACACUUCCCUGUCAUUUUUUAUUUUAUUCUACUUUUUGUUACCUGCAACUCUUACUCGUAUUGGUUUUGUACUUGGUUUUUUGGAUCACUUUUAGUACACUAAUUGCUGUAUGUAGAGCAGUUUACCUACGGAUUUUGUUAGCUCUGACUCCAUUGUUAAAAGAUUCCGUUUGCUAAGUAAACUUUUUUUUUACAAUAUUUUUCAUCCAGAUACUCUAUAGGUCUUAAAACAUAUGCCAUAUGUGAAUUAAACUGUUUUCAAUCACCAGUAUCUUUGUCUAAGUUUUAAUCCUCUUGGAAGCAACAAUGAACAAAACAAAAUUUCCACUCAAAGUCAAAUUUAUUUUUCAGUGAGUCCUAAGAAAGAAAUGUUGACUAGCUGUUGGCUUUUAAUUUUUUGGAGAUUUUUUCUUACUCUGUUGUUCUACCUGAGGCUGAGGUAAUGGUAAUAUAUCCCUUUGCGUUAUUCUAUUUAUUCUUUAAGUGUUACUCUUCUGCCAGGUGUUCCUUACUAAAUUCUUUUAGACAGCAUCAUCUCAGUCCUUUAUCUAAAAAUCUGGAGACUACUUUGAUGUCUCUGUGACUCAGUGGGCACUUCUUUCCACUCACAAGCAAAGAUAAAUAGAUCAGAUCAGAAUCUUAGUGGAGAGAAGAGAAAGGGAAGAUGCAACAUGUCCCAGAUAUCUGGAAUUUCUUCAGUCUUUGAACAGCUUACUUGGUAUAAAAGUUAGUAAAAAUUGAUUUCUAUCUAAACAGGUAAUAAAAAGUUUGAAAACAAAACCCCAACACACCUGUAAAAUCUAAGCAAACUCUGUAAAUUGGGAUAUUUCCAUCUGUUCUACUUUUGAAGUUGAGAUGUCUAUUUGUUUUUCUGUGAAAAGAUGGAGGAAAACUAUAUAUUUGGCCUUAGCACCAAGUAGAUAAAGAAGCUGUGCAGUAGUCAGUUGCCUACUUGUAAUAACCACAAGUACGUUUUUAACUCUUUAGAUAAUACAGUUUGAAGCUCGUAGCAUUUUAACCAAACAUUAUUUAACCUUUCUGACUACCUAUUUCUAAAACAUGAAUUUAUAAUGAUUUAUAAUUUUUCAGCUACUAGAUAGUCAAUGAUGAAUGAACGCAGAGCAUUUCUGGGCUUUUGGAUGGCAUCCUCUGAAUUGAAACUUGUAUGUUGUUGGCCUCCUCUUUACCUAUUUCUUUCCUUUCAUUGACAGAAAAAUGGAAAUUACUCAGGAUUUUAGAAGAGGUUGGCAAAAAGGUGUAUUUUUUGGAAAGUGCAGGAAGACUGAAAGGGUUCAAGCAGCAACAUUCUCAAACAGAAUCUGAUGGUUCCGGCUACUACUAAUGAUCUAUUUGGACAAAAGAAAGGGCACUACGACUUUAGGAACCGAGAAAGUUUAUAAACAGAAAUCACUGUAAGAAGAAAUAAGGAGUGAAAGUUUUGAUGAAAGAUGUGUCAGUCUUCUGAAAACACAGAGUGCUCUUCAAGGAAAACUUAACAAGUUGCUCAAACACCUGCUUGCUAUGAGGCAAACACUGAGCUGCAUAUUUGCCCCAGGACAGGAGUCUUGGGAGAGAGCUUACCACAUCCCCGCAGCAGCAGAUAAAUCAUGUGACUAGAUGUCAUCAGUCUCUGGAGGAAUGCGAUAGAGUUGCUUAUUUUGACACUUCUUGUGCCAUCUGUGCCGUGGGUAAGGAAAUAAGCUGUGGAGCCGGUGCUGGACCAGUUGGCAGCAGGUGGUCAGAAGAGUCUGGUAUUUCUGUUAACACUACUCAGGCUGCUCGGGAAGUGCAGGCCUGGUUUUGAGUUUUUUCCUGUCAGACUGCUGUGAAGUUGCCUAAAUGGCUCACACCUGGGUACAGGCAUCUCAGGAGGAGAACUGACACAAGCAGUGGAAAGCCUCAGUGCAGAAAUCUGUGUUGCAAGGUCUUGGAGAAAGAAGAGCAACCUUUGGUGUGGGAAUGCAUUUCUGAAGCUCAGCAAAUGCAAGGUGUAAAGCUGGUUUAAAUUUUUACAUCAGCUGUGAAUUUUACACAAUGCAUUUCAGCAGACCUGGAGAAAGGACCCAGAAGCCUUUGCCAUCUAUGCAGACCCACUAGGACAAGUCACAGCUCCUCCUGUGCCGAACGAAUGCCUAUAUGACUGGGAUUCAAAGAAUUUGGUGUGCUGGCUGAAUCAUCAGUUUCUCCCACAGUGAUGGCUAUCACAAUGCAGGUUUUCUGAACUAUUACAACACUGCCUCACAACCAAAGCAGAGUCCUCAGCUGGAGCAUACAGCUAGACUAAGACAUUAUUACUACUUGAAAGAUCAUUAAAACAAAACUCUCCACACUGAAAUUUGACCUACCAAGAAAAACAGCUCUUAAGGAUUUAUGAGGUCGUGAGCCAACGUGAACAGAAAAUAUGCCAGCAGAGGCACAACAUGAAGAGUGAGGUUUGAGCUUCCCUGUUAUUCUUUAACCGCAACCUGAAGUGACCACCUGUAGAGAUCAGAGACUUCAUUACAGCUUCCUCUGCUCCUGCUCAGCUCUUCUGAUGAAGAUGGGGUGGUUAAAUUGUCACCCUUCUUUGAGGAGGAUAAUGCCGAUGUCACAACUAACCUGAACUUCCCUUCUACAAAGAUGCUUUAGCACCUUUCUCUAAAUCCUGUUUAAAACUCCCCUCCGCUGUGAUGCCUACAGAGCUUGGCACCUGGUUGGCAGCUGCUGGGCUUGGGCUGACUAUUGUGUUGGUAUUCCUUCGCAAAUGUUAUUUACCUCUUAUCUUUCAGUGUCAGUACUGUGGGGAAAGGAUCAUCCUUUGGUUCUGCGUCUGAAAGCACCUGGUCCACAAUUUGGACCCAGCAGAUUGGUGCAGCAGCCCUGGCUAAUGGACACAGUUCACAACAGUUGUGCCAGCCCCCGGGGAGUCCAGGAAAUGGGAAAAAGCCCUGGCAGAUUUGUCAUGUGUGUGCAUGCGUGGGUGAAUGCUUCCCAGCCUAAUCUAACAACUGCAAGGAGAAUUUCACACUGAGGCUUCUGGCUCUUCUGCUGAUGAAUGAGGCUUUGUACAGUUCAGUGGUUCCCAAGUGUGGUUUGAGGAGCUCUUCCAAGCAGUCUGCACAGCUGCUUUUGUCAGAGGGGGAGGGAGCAUCUGCCGAUUUAAAAGCAUUUCUUCCAGUUACAGCUGAGUCUGAGCAUUGCUUAGAUUUUUCACAGCAUUUUAAAAGGACUUUUUUCAGUAUAAGAUGCUCCUCCACGAAUGUCUUUUGUUCUUGCCUUGUGUGCUUGUGUGUGCAUUUGGUUUAGAUUCAGUGGUUUUGUGCUGUAACACGUGGCUCAAACUAGCACUUGAAGGGGCAGGUAUCAAAGAAGAGAUACAAAAUGCCAAAAAUGCUGGAAAAAUUAAAAGCCACAAAGAGGACAGAAUAUACUAAAAUCUUUCACUAGAGAUGUUACAUCCUAUUUGCAGAAAAGAAAAUAGCUGUAGAAGUCAGAGGCUGAGCUGUGUGAAAGACCAUAAUCAGUACACACACAAAAUUCAGUUUGAUUUUUUUUUUUUUUUAACACUGUCCCAGUGUUUUGCAUUUAUCCAAGCGUGGUAUAUGCUACAGGGAGACAUUCCAAAGGAUCUUGUGGUACAAGGAAAGAAGACAUUUAUUUUUAGUGAUCUUACACACUACAUAUACAUAUGUAUACAUAGUAUAUGCAUACAUAUAUGCAGACAUGUGUAGGCAUGCAUAGUUCAGUUGGAGAAUCUCUGAUUUAGUUGCAUGAUAUUACCGGGUCCAGGAAUGCCAAGGCUUGCUCUUUGCUUGCCGGGACUGUCACUUCUUAGCAGGUUACCAUCAUGGUAGUUCCUUGGCGGGGGGGGGGGAAAGGUGUCCUUGCAAGUUUUUGAAACAAGUUGAAGUUUGUAGUCACUGUGGUAACUUAAGUCAAGUUAAGGUACUUUAAGAAAAGCAACUUUGAGCAGAGUUGUUCUUGUCCUCACUUUCUCUUUCUACACCAUGGGACACUUGGCUUCUUAGUGAGAUUAAAAUGCAAUAUAAUAUUUAGAAUCUGCUGGUUUCGGUACAAAUUUGAUUCAAAGCAUAUUUGUACAAGGUCAAAACGCUUUUAAGUUUUCUAGAUGCUAAAAGCCUAAUUCAAAACACAGUGAAAUCAAUUGGACUCUUUCCACUGACUUCAAUGGAUUUUGGAUCAAGCGCUAAUUUACAUAAAAUGAAGUACUUUCUUAUGCCCCAGAGCAUUACAUAACUUGAGAAGCACUUUCUGGAGAAGGGUGUGCUCACCUUCCUCUGAAUUGUCAGGUGUUAGCUGUUACCAGGAUCAGCUCUGAUGGCUCAAUCACAUAAUGCUUUGCUGGAAACCCUGUUUCAAAUCAUUUUUUCAAGUCUCAAGUUGGAUAGCGUUAUGGCAGCUAAUCUUCUUUUCCAAAAACAGAACUAAAACCUACACAUCCAUGUCUUCAGGAAAAGAUGUUCUUAAUAUCAGAAACUUCAUGUGUAAUAUGUAUUUUUAUAUAUAUAUGUAUCAUACAUAUACAUGUACUUAUUUUACCUUUCUCUGUCUAUGGAUGACAUUAUUCAUAUUUAGUUCUAGUUCUGCAGCAGUCUGAAGUGCUGUGCAGCAAACAACAUACUGUAUGCCCUGGCCAGAAAAAGUGGUCAGAAUCCUACUUACAGAUAUUACAUCAUUAACUACCUUGCAGGCUACUGUGAGCAGAACAGUAUAGCAAUUGCGUUGACAGAGUAAGGUAAUUUUAUAAUAUCACUGCUAAUUAAUACAGUAUUAUGACUUAAUUCAGGAAUUAGUCUAACAAUUCGUGUUGUGUCAUAUUCUGAGUAAUGCAAAUUAAUUGCACUGCUUUUUUGUUUAUAUUCUCUUCUACCUUCAAGAAUGACUUGCUACUGAAAGUGUAUGUUGCUAAGCAAGUAUUCAGUAAGAAAAAUGCAGUAAGAAGGUCCAGUCCAUUAAGAGAACAAUUUCAAUAUAGCUUCAGCGAGUGAGUUGAAAUGCCUCCUUUUAACUACUCCUACACAGAGGAACAGGCUUAAUAACUAGCAACGUGGCUGUCAAAUUCCUUCUCUAACAAUUGGCCAGUUACAUAUCAAAGCUGAAGUUUCACCUCACAUUUUGUCGUAUUCAAACAUACAACAAACCUACCCACUUAGCUUAAUAUAAUGUUAGAUGUUACAGAUUUUCUUACCCAGGCAAACUUAAGAGAAGCUGUGUUGUCAGUGGGAACGAGGCAUGAAUCUAGGAGAUUCUUGGAUUCCCUGUCUCUGCAACUACUCUGAUGCUUCAGAAAACUCCAUUUCAUUUAUGUUGGAGACCACUGCAGCAGAUAAUGCCACACUGCACCAAGGACUGAAGUUCAUUCUUAGCCCUAGCAAUGCUUGCUUUUGUCAUAUGGCAUUAACACUUAUGUCAUGUGGCUUUUCACACUUAGCACUGAAAAGCAAUUAUCAAAACAUCAAUGCAAAGUGUCAGUGGAGAUUUUUGCAUCGAAUCUUAGAAACCGUCUUAUGCCAGUUCUGUUAAACACCAAGUUUGGUGGGAUUUUUAAUACAAGACAGGUGACAAAAAUCUCUAUGAGAGAUCAGGUCUCUGCAAGGAGCAGUUCAGUCUCUAGGGCAUAAAAAGUGCUCACUAAUAUAACCAAACAUCAUUUAUGACAGCUGUGUGCGUCUGCUAAAAUAAGAGCAUUAGAAAUAUUAUGUGGUAGAAGGGUGUAAUCUAUGAUAUGAUGGAGGAAAUACACAAGUGAAGUCUAUAUUAACUGUCGUUCAAUUAUCUAUGAGACUAACUAGAACAAGUUUCUUCAGUAUAUUGGCCAAGCAGCCCCCUGGAGAAGGUCGGUCUGCUAGCUGUGAUGUAUAUUCUUUCCCAUUGUGGGGACCGUAGUAGCCAGAAGGCUUCAUUCCUUACACAGCAACUUAUUUUUAAAGUUUUUAUCACUUACUGACUACAACAGGCUGUUCAUAUGUAUGUGUAGUGUCUGAGAAAUGUGUUUCAAAAUAUGGCCUUAAGCACUUUGCAGACACUUUCAGACUUGUAAAAUAGAGAAUUUCCUCAUCUAUCAACAACUCUCUCAAGCUCUCCAUCCUCAUACCUUUAGGGAGCUUUUCCUGUAACAGCUUGAAUACAUGAAAAACUGCUACUAGGGCAUGGGACACAAGGAAAACAAACUGCUAUACCUAUAACUGCUUUGUUUUAGCCCUGAUUUACCUCAACUAGCAUGAAUAAGGAUGACACAACUGGUCCUAGAAAUCAAUGGCUGUGUGUGAAGAAUGAAAUGAACCAUUACUCAGCAUUAGUCAACAAAACAUGAUUUCCUUAAUCACACUGUCCCAGUGUCUUGUUUUCUUCGUAUUUUUUACUUCAGUUGGAAAAAUCCAUAGCAGUAUAAUAUUAUUAGAUCCUAAGAAAAAGGAAAGAUGCCAUAUGACCUCUAGUGAAGUACCUUAUCAGGUAAGCUAUUUAUGGGGUUAACUGGUGAAAACAGCAUUACUGACAUCUGAUACCACAAAGCUUCACAGUACUUUGCAGGUCAGCAUGAGCAAAUUCUGCCUUUGCAUAGAGCUGGCCAGAUGUCAACCAGAGCCAAAGAAGAAACUGCGUCCGCGGGUGGCUGGCAUGACAUGGAUCCUGAGAGGAUAAGCCUCUCUCGGGUAGGUUAUGGGGAGUAGUCCAGGCAAAGCCCUGCACUAAUACAGCUGCAUGGCUUCUGGCACGCAGGGUGAACAGGCAGAGUAAGCCUGUAUCAGCCUAUACAGAGCUGACACGCGUGGACGUCGCCUCGCUGUGACACCAUCCAAAGUCAAGCCUUAUGUCAAAGAGGGCUUCAGGGAAGACAAGUAGCUGCACAACUUUACUCUUAUCAAAGUGUUAUGGUUCUGCUAGAGCAGUACAAAAUUAAAAGGAGGUAGGCGCUGCCUGUUAAUAGAGGAAAAAGCAUGAGUCUUUCAUGGAGAGCUUUGAAGCAAGAGCAAGCAAGAGGCAAGAUAUGUUCUUACAGCCACAGCUCUUCUAAUGAAUAGUGACUGUCUUACAGAAAAAGCCAAAGGUUUUCUUGCUAGGUUGUGGCAAUUUACAUUCAUUCUAACUCUUAAUGAAGCCCAUAUUUUUGUUUGUUUUCUUAUACUUUGCAAUUUGAUAAAAUGAAGUUUGGUGGGGGGGGUGAGGAGAUUUUUUCGGUGGCUUUCAUAUUAAAAGCGGAAUCCAAGGAAAUCAGUUUGUCUCACAAUUUUUAAGAUUCACUAUGCUUUUCCUGAGGAGACUCAGGUGUCUGUAAAGGUCAUGUGAGGAAGAUGAAAACUAGGCCUUAUGAGGCCUGCCUUGCUUCAGUGAUGCCUCAAGCACUUAAACCUGGUGUAGAAGUACUACGUGGUGUAAAUGACACAUAGGACUCCCCGCAGUAAACGAAUUUUAACCUAUAUCAUAAGAUACCCAAAGCGAUGUCUUGUAAUGCAUAUCAUACACUCUAAAAAUAGAACAAAGUGGUUAAAUUUGGGCCUUUUGUGACUUCAAUUAAAUAUGUAAGAAUAAAAAAAAGUCUCAGGUA